UACGUAGGGGGCUAGCGUUGCUCGGAAUUACUGGGCGUAAAGGGCUCGUAGGCGGCCAACUAAGUCGGAUGUGAAAUCCCCAGGCUUAACCUGGGAACUGCAUCCGAUACUGGAUGGCUUGAAUCCGGGAGAGGGAUGCAGAAUUCCAGGUGUAGCGGUGAAAUGCGUAGAUAUCUGGAGGAAUACCGGUGGCGAAGGCGGCAUCCUGGACCGACAUUGACGCUGAUGAGCGAAAGCUAGGGGAGCAAACGGG
rnacentral:rRNA from 1 species